rnacentral:rRNA from 1 species
AUUGAACGCUGGCGGCAGGCUUAACACAUGCAAGUCGAGCGGAAACGGCAGUAUUGAAGCUUCGGUGGAUUUACUGGACGUCGAGCGGCGGACGGUUGAGUAACGGCUGGGAACCUGCCCUGACGAGGGGGAUAACCGUUGGAAACGACGGCUAAUACCGCAUAAUGUCUACGGACCAAAGGUGGCCUCUACAUGUAAGCUAUCGCGUUGGGAUGGGCCCAGUUAGGAUUAGCUAGUUGGUAAGGUAACGGCUUACCAAGGCGACGAUCCUUAGCUGGUUUGAGAGGAUGAUCAGCCACACUGGGACUGAGACACGGCCCAGACUCCUACGGGAGGCAGCAGUGGGGAAUAUUGCACAAUGGGGGAGACCCUGAUGCAGCCAUGCCGCGUGUGUGAAGAAGGCCUUCGGGUUGUAAAGCACUUUCAGCAGUGAGGAAGGUAGUGUACUUAAUACGUGCAUUGCUUGACGUUAGCUGCAGAAGAAGCACCGGCUAACUCCGUGCCAGCAGCCGCGGUAAUACGGAGGGUGCGAGCGUUAAUCGGAAUUACUGGGCGUAAAGCGCAUGCAGGCGGUUUGUUAAGUCAGAUGUGAAAGCCCGGGGCUCAACCUCGGAACCGCAUUUGAAACUGGCAGGCUAGAGUCUUGUAGAGGGGGGUAGAAUUUCAGGUGUAGCGGUGAAAUGCGUAGAGAUCUGAAGGAAUACCAGUGGCGAAGGCGGCCCCCUGGACAAAGACUGACGCUCAGAUGCGAAAGCGUGGGUAGCAAACAGG